UUAUGACCAUACCACAUUGAAAACACCAGUUCCUGUACAAUCACUGAAGUUAAGAAACGUUGAGCCUGGUCAGUAUCUAGAUGGAUGACCCCUUGGGAAUACCAGGUGCUGUAA